rnacentral:SRP_RNA from 1 species
CCAAUCUUGGCGGAUGACGGACUCUUCAGCACCAAGGAGUUGGGCAGGGCUUGCAGCUACACCAUCGCCCUUGCUACCAAGCCCAUCGCCGAUGUAACAGCUCUGGUCGUCUUCGGCUCGGAACUCGAAGCUUCCCCGCGUG